GUGACCUUGGCUUAGGGGCCCGGAUCCCAGCCUAGUUCCUCUAAUUGGUAUGUUUUCUCAGGGAGUUAUCUGAAGAGUGAAGGUGUUUUGCUAGGUCUCUAUGGCAGUGCUGGUACCUAAAGUGUAAGACAAAGUUCCUUUUACUUUUCCCUCUAUUUUUCUCAAGCAGAAGGAGUCUCAUUCCAUAGCCAACACAGUUGGGAAUGUGCUGAGUGUCACCUGAAGCCAGUAAGUCUCAGAGUCUCACCCAAGGCCCUCAACAUAUUACCUGGGUAUCACCACUGGUUAUUCUGGGCUCAAUUUCUGUUAAAAUUUCACCAUGACAAUGUAACUCCAUAGCUCAUUGACAGGUGCAAUCACUCCCCUGCCCACGUGACACAAAUAAUACCCUGCCCUUUUCCCUUUAAAUUUGGAGCCCUCAAAAUCAUCUUAGGAGAAAGGCAUAGACCUGUUUCCUGGGUGCACAUCCUUAACUUUGGCAAAUAAACCUCCUAUCAACCCAUACUUUUAUAUACGAUUAAUCUAUCCUACAUCAUUAACCGUGUUUCCAACAAACAUUAACAUAAAAACAAAAUGACAGCUCACAAAUUUAAAACAUUCUUUCUACUGUGAAUCCCCAAAAUUUGAGACAAAUCUGUCAGAUGGGUGGAUUACAAAAUUUUUCUCCCAUUCUGUAGGUUGCCUGUUCACUCUGAUGAUAGUUUCUUUUGCUGUGCAGAAGCUCUUCGGUUUAAUUAGAUCCCAUUUGUCAAUUUUGGCUUUUGUCACAAUGGCUUUUGGCAUUUUUGUCAUGAAGUCUUUGCCCAUGCCUAUGUCCUGAAUCGUACUGCCUUGGUUUUCUUCCAGAGUUUUUAUGGUUUGGGAUAUUACAUUUAAUUCUUUAAUCCAUCUUGAGUUAAUUUUUGUAUAAUGUGUAAGGAAGGGGUCCAGUUUCAGUUUUCUGCAUAUGGCUAGCCAGUUUUCCCUGCACCAUUUACUGAAUAGGAGAUCCUUUCCCCAUUGCUUGUUUUUGUCUGGUUUGUCAAAGAUCAGAAUGUUGUAGAUGUGUGGUGUUAUUUCUGAGGUCUCUGUUUUGUUCUAUUGGUCUAUAUAUCUGUUUUGGUAACACUACCAUGCUGUUUUGGUUACUGUAG
rnacentral:lncRNA from 10 species